AAAAUGAGAAAGAAAAGAAGAAUUAUGCUGAUAAAGAAAAAAGUCUUGGGCUAGUCAAACAGAAUAUGAAGAGCCGUCUAGAGGAGCAGUAAAAACAAACAGCUGCCCAUCACCCCAGCCGACGAGAGGGAGGAAGUCUUUGAUACAUCCCCUGAGGUCCCACAGUGAAAUAACCCAUCGUUUGUAGAGAACUCGCGUCCAAGAAAGGCUCUGGUUUUCGACGGAGAUGCCAGAAGUUUGCUGCGUGAGCAAAACAAAGCUCUCCAGACUUGCCCCCCCCCACCCCCC